AAACCAAAUUCGAAGUUCGACAAUCACCUGCUUCAACAUUUUUCUGAAGAUAAAUUUUACAUUUAUAGCAGAAUAACUAAUUAAUGUAAUUUAAUUAAAUUUUCUGUAUUAAUUAAGAAGAAAAUGACAUUAUACCAUUUCGGAAACUGUGUAGCACUUGUUUAUGUGCCAUAUUAUCUCACCUACAAGUAUUCUGGACUUUCUGAAUAUGGCGCAUUCUGGAAAUGCAUACAAGCUGGUGGUAUUUAUAUCUUCACACAACUAUGUAAAAUGCUUGUACUGGCGACGUUUUUCGAUUCCGACACACUAAAUGGUUCAGGAGAUGGCUUCAGUUUCUUGGCGGAGUUUCUUAAGAGUAGUGUUAAUGUCGCCGAUUUACUCGGCUUCGCUUUGAUACUGUCACGCAUACCCGGCAAAGGUCACAAUAAGUUGAUUACAACCGGCUUGGGUUGGGCCGCUGCAGAAGUUAUACUCUCUCGUGGUAUUAUGCUUUGGGUUGGCGCACGUGGCACAGAAUUCAGUUGGAUUUACAUACUUAAAUGCCUUGAAUCCAAUGUUUUAUUGGUUCAGCAUAUCACUACUGCCACACUAAUGUGGCUCUUCUCUAGGCACGAUCUUAACAAGUCACUUAAACCUUUAGUGACCAUACUAUUAGCGCUGACAGUAUUCAAAGGUGUUUGGCUUGAAGGUCUGCUUAGUGUGCUCACCUUCGGACCUUGGUCGACUAUUGCCAUAAAAGCGUUGAUUGCUUCGAUUAUGGGAUUUAUGUCUCUUCACAUUUACACAGGAUUAGCACAGCAAAUAGGCAUUUAAGCUAUACGAAGGGUGAUAGCAAAAUCUGUGACAUCAGCGAUGACGUACGUGACGCAUUAAAGAAGUUUCGCUUCCGUAAAAGUACGACAAACUCCGCACUGAUAUUAAAAGUCGAUCGCGAGAAGCAACUUGUUAUUUUGGAUGAACUCUUGGAGGAUAUAUCCGUUGAUGAAUUGCAAGAAACACUGCCAGGCCAUCAGCCGCGUUAUAUCAUA